rnacentral:tRNA from 1 species
GCACCAGUGGUCUAAUGGUAUGAUUUCGCCUUCCCAAGGCGGAUGCCCGGGUUCGAUUCCCGGCUGGUGCA